AAUAAAAUGCCUGAUAAAAAGGACUAUUUUGAUAGAAUAGAUUAUGAAUGUAUUUCUUUUAUUA
rnacentral:tRNA from 1 species